GACGAACGCUGGCGGCGUGCUUAACACAUGCAAGUCGAACGGAAAGGCCCCGCUUUUGUGGGGUGCUCGAGUGGCGAACGGGUGAGUAACACGUGAGUAACCUGCCCUUGACUUUGGGAUAACUUCAGGAAACUGGGGCUAAUACCGGAUAGGAGCUCCUGCUGCAUGGUGGGGGUUGGAAAGUUUCGGCGGUUGGGGAUGGACUCGCGGCUUAUCAGCUUGUUGGUGGGGUAGUGGCUUACCAAGGCUUUGACGGGUAGCUGGCCUGAGAGGGUGACCGGCCACAUUGGGACUGAGAUACGGCCCAGACUCCUACGGGAGGCAGCAGUGGGGAAUAUUGCACAAUGGGCGGAAGCCUGAUGCAGCAACGCCGCGUGCGGGAUGACGGCCUUCGGGUUGUAAACCGCUUUCGCCUGUGACGAAGCGUGAGCGACGGUAAUGGGUAAAGAAGCACCGGCUAACUACGUG
rnacentral:rRNA from 1 species